UCUAGUUUUUUACAAUAAAGUCUAAACUAUGAUGCAUUUGGGUUUGGAUCUAAUCUCAUCGAUCAUACACUUUUAAAGUCAACUCCUUCUCCUCCUAUGUUUUUGCUACCACAGCAAUGGAAUUUAUAUACUCGUAUUCAUAAGAAUUUGAUGCUGAGGGUCUUUUGGAAAUCGUCUUUCUAGGAAGUACUGAUUAAAGAUGUACGUAUACUCUACUCUAACUCUGUUAUUGUUUUGUUAUUUCUAAUUUGAUUGUUUGUGACCAUUUUCAAGACUUGUUAAUGAUUAGAGUAUGUUGUUGUUCAUGUAAAUUCUGUUUUCCAUCAGUCGUUAGAGGGGCAAUAAGCAAAUUAUACUAUGGAGAAUUCUGGCAUGGAACCUUAUUAUUAUUAUCCUUCAGUAGGCGAAGAACUAGUGGGGUUUGAUGAAUAUGCACAAAAUAUAACUGAUUAUUUGGUAAGAGGAACCAAGGGCCUGGACGUUGUAUCGAUUGUUGGAAUGGCUGGUUUAGGGAAAACAGCUCUGGCUGGAAAGGUAUACGAUAGUCGUUCUAUUAUUGAUCAUUUUGAUGUUCGAGCUUGGUGUUCUCUUUCACAAACAUAUAAUAGGACACAGUUGUUGCUUCAGAUUCUAACACAAAUUACAGGUGAUCAUUCUAAAUAUGAUAAGUGGCCUUAUCCUGAAGACAUAUUGCGAAAGUGUCUAUACAGAAAAAGAUAUCUUGUUGUAUUAGACAACAUAUGGGAUGGUAAGGCAUGGGAUGAUUUUCAAUCAUGUUUCCCUAAUAAUAAUUGUGGAAGUAGAAUAAUGAUAACAACGAGAGAUGAAGCGAUGGCUAGCUAUGUUAAGGGGUACAGAGUUCCUUAUUCGCUUCCACGUCUAGAAGAUGAUCAGAGUUGGGAACUAUUGCAGAAGAAAGUAUUUCAACGAGGGAAAUCGUGUCCUUUGGAACUAGUGAAUGUAGGAAAACUAGUUGCAAAAGAAUGUAGAGGACUGCCUUUAUUGAUUAUCAUGAUUGCUCAAGUUCUUUCAAGAGAAAGAGAAGGGUCUUCGUGGCUUAAGAUUGCAUAUGAUAUAAGUUCUCACGUUCCCAACAAGGAGAUUAUCAUGAUGACGAUACAAUCAAGUUAUGACCAUUUACCGGACCAUUUGAAGCCUUGCCUUAUCUACAUGGGAUUGUUUCCUAAAAAAAUACGAAAUUCCAGUAUCUGAUCUACUCAAGUGGUGGAUAGCUGAGGAGUUUGUGCACAACAUUGACACCUUGAAGCUAGAAGAAUUAUCAGAGAUUUGCUUGCAUGAUCUUGUUGGCAGAAACCUCGUAGUGGUUUCUGAAAGAAGAUCGAAUGGUGAAAUGAAAUGCUGCAUCGUUCUUGAUCAUGUUCGUGACUUUUGCUUGAGAAAAAUUACAGAAGAAAAGUUCAUAGUGCCGUAUAGUUAUCCAGAGGAACAAAGGUUAUGUAUGUACAUACAUGACCGUACUAUGACAAGUGAUUUCAAGGAAAGUGAUCGUAAGGAGUUCAUUGUUCAUCCGAAAUUCAGUAUAUUGGACCGUAAGAAUCCUUUUCGUUUGCUUAAUAACUUAAAACUUGUUCGGGUUUUACAUUUACUGGAUAUCUAGUUGGACAAUUCUUUGCCUACUGCACUUCAGUCACUGGAUCACUUGAAGUACCUUGCAAUUUUUGUUAAAGCAUUUGAUUUCAAAUGGGUGUCACACCUACUUCAUCUACAAACUUUGCGGGUUUGUUCAUCUUAUAUAAUGAUAUCCUCUGCUAUAUGGAAAAUGUCAAAGUUGAGGCAUGUGGACAUAAACGAAUUUCUCAUUACAGUAUCGGAAGAAGAAGAUGAUAUUGUGUUAGAUAACUUGAAGACUCUUGGAAUGUGUUGUAUGUCCGUGGCUGACAUGACUCGAAAGUUUUGGGACAAGUUCCCAAAUCUUGAAGAAGUCAAGCUCCACGUUAAUGAAUUUGGAGAUCAUGUUUCUGAUUACUCAAGCUCUGCAUUGAUGAAUUUGGAUACUAUUCUCCCCUCUCGUCUCAAGUGUUUGUCCCUCAGUGAAAUGUUCCUAACGCAUGAAUUAGUUUCAAGCAUUGCAGAAUUGCGAUGCCUUGAGACUCUUAAAUUAUCUGAGAUAUACUUUGCAGGGGAAUGUCAUUGGGAUCUCGGUGAUUACACGUUUGAAAAACUCAAGUUUUUGAAAUUACAUCGUGUUUUUAUGACCAAGUGGAGUUGCUCAGAGGAAUCAUUUCCUUGCCUUGAAUAUCUUGUAAUAAAAAGUUGUCCCAAGCUUGAAGGGAUCCCGGAGGCCUUUGUUUAUAAUAUACAGUUGCAAAUCAGUUAUCGAUAGUAGUGAGUCAGUUCGCUAUAUAGCUCAAGACAUUAAACAAGUUGUAGAAGAUACUGAAGGAUAUGAGAGACUCCAACUUCAUGUCUCCAACAACUACUAAAGAUGGUCAGCUACAUUCCUUCCACGGAGAAUUACAUUUUCUAGAUGUGAUUUCCGAGCAGCAGAAUCAUUCAUCGGAUCAGAUCAGGAGACAUCAUUAGAAGCUAAACCAUUGCCGUACUGAGAUGAAAGGUUCUGCUCUGUGGAUGGAUUGAUUUGCAUAUCAUCAAUCAGCAAGUUGCUAUUGACCUGAGGAUAUCAAUGUCUAUUUAGAUUUGUGCUUUGUAACGUAACGCUACAUUCUGAUAUGUAUUGUCAGAGACGGAGCCAGAAUUUGAAGCUUAUGGAUUCUGAAUUUCUUUUUCA